rnacentral:lncRNA from 1 species
AUUACACAACAUUUCUGAAGAAUAAGACCAGCAAUGAAACCUCCUUAGCAGCAUGUUCACUCAGGGAUGGCAUCCUGGCCAGCAUCCGAGAGCCGUAAGGCAGCAACCAAGAUCCAAGAAAGAAGAAGUUUCAGCCGUCUGGGUGAGGAGCACGACUUGUAUUUCUACACGAGUGUCCGGAUGCUGCAGAGGCUGCUGGUCCUCUGACCUCACUUGGAAGACCUCUGAUUUCUGCUGCCACGGCCCACUCCGCAGGUGGUUCUAGACCUGGAGCUGGAGGCAAGGAGGACCCAGGGCAUCUCCUCAGAGGUUGGAAUUGGAGAGGCACCAGGAGCGCCCGGGCAUGAGGAUGGGAUGGUGUAUGGACAGGACAAAUCUACACCAAUGAGAGGGACCCCGAACCACCACCUGUCCCCUGAGGAGCUAAUUUGCAUGCAGUUUCUUUAGGGUGAAGAGCCUGGGGGCCUCAUGAGAAGGUGGGCUCUUCUUGUUAGCUCCAGCCUCUCAGGGGCUGUGCAGCAGGCGUGGUGGGCAGGAAGAGGGUCUCCCCAGUGCAGGCUGCAGGGCACUUGGUCAAGUGAUUCUGGGAUGGCACCCACCCGAGACUACGCUCCGUCCAGCUCAGCACCCAAGACCAAGCCGCAUGUCACGUAGGCCUCGGGGUGAGGGGCCAACUGCAGGCCUCAGCAUCUCCCCACAUGGGUCUGGCUGAAGUGGGGGUAGGCUGGAGAAGGUCCCUGUCCCAUCGCGCUGAAUAGACCCCCUCUGCCUCCCUGCUCCUGCCCUGUGAGAAAUGGGCGAAAACCCCGUGGAUUUAGGAACCUUAGUAAGAAGAGUGCCAGGGUGAGGAACAGGGCUUGGCAUAGUAAUACGGGAAUCCUAUUAAGUUUUUCUCAGAAAGAUGGGACGUUGAACCAGUGACUGGUAUUACCAGGAGCUUCAAAAUUAUUUUCUGCUGCUGAUUGAGGAAGAGGAACACGAAAAGGAAAUAAAUACGGUUCUACGUUCA